rnacentral:rRNA from 1 species
CUGGCCCCUAGGGCCCGAGUUGUAAUUUGCAAGAUGCUUUUGGCAAGGUGCCUUCCGAGUUCCCUGGAACGGGACGCCAUAGAGGGUGAGAGCCCCGUCUGGUUGGAUGCCGAGCCUCUGUAAAGCUCCUUCGACGAGUCGAGUAGUUUGGGAAUGCUGCUCUAAAUGGGAGGUAUAUGUCUUCUAAAGCUAAAUACCGGCCAGAGACCGAUAGCGCACAAGUAGAGUGAUCGAAAGAUGAAAAGCACUUUGAAAAGAGGGUUAAAUAGUACGUGAAAUUGUUGAAAGGGAAGCACUUAUGACCAGACUUGGACCCGGUGAAUCAUCCAGCGUUCUCGCUGGUGCACUUUGCCGGGCUCAGGCCAGCAUCAGUUUGCCCCGGGGGAUAAAGGCUUUGGGAAUGUGGCUCCCUCGGGAGUGUUAUAGCCCAUUGCACAAUACCCUGGGGCGGACUGAGGUUCGCGCAUCUGCAAGGAUGCUGGCGUAAUGGUCAUCAGUGACCCGUCUUGAAACACGGACCAAGGAGUCGUCUUCGUAUGCGAGUGUUCGGGUGUAAAACCCCUACGCGUAAUGAAAGUGAACGCAGGUGAGAGCUUCGGCGCAUCAUCGACCGAUCCUGAUGUUCUCGGAUGGAUUUGAGUAAGAGCAUACGGGGCCGGACCCGAAAGAAGGUGAACUAUGCCUGUAUAGGGUGAAGCCAGAGGAAACUCUGGUGGAGGCUCGCA